rnacentral:ncRNA from 2 species
GCCCCCGAGGAGCGUUGCGACGGAUGAUCCGCUGAAAAGCAGCAUCCGCCAGGCUCGGAGGCAUUCAAUCCGGACGGUUCGAAGGCGCUUUACCUUCAAGGUGAAAACGCCCGUCAAGCCACCGCAUUCGAACGGCGCUCACGUCAA